UACGAAGGGGGGCUAGCGUUGUUCGGAAUUACUGGGCGUAAAGCGCGCGCAGGCGGUCUUCCAAGUCAGUGGUGAAAAGCCCGGAGCUCAACUCCGGAAUUGCCAUUGAAACUGUGAGACUGGAGUACGAGAGAGGUGAGUGGAAUUCCCAGUGUAGAGGUGAAAUUCGUAGAUAUUGGGAAGAACACCGGUGGCGAAGGCGGCUCACUGGACCACAACUGACGCUGAGGCGCGAAAGCUAGGGGAGCAAACAGG
rnacentral:rRNA from 1 species